ensembl:lncRNA
GUGUGGAGUGAGUGCAUAUGAGAGCAUGAGGGUGGGAAUGGAUGUUUGUGUCUGUGUGUGCCUGUAUGUCUGUGUCUAUAUGUCAGGUUGGGUAUCAGACGCCACCUCUCUGGGGACACCUCAGGCCCUCCAAGGUUUGGAGGCCUAUCUCCACCCACCACCACUUCCCCUGCCGGUGGCGGACUCCCUCAGGUGUCGGUGUGUUGGUGGUUCUUUGUGUCUGGGGGUGGGCGUCCGGGUACACACCGGCUCACUCCUUGGCGGCCGCUUGUCGGGGCCUGGGGCCUGGGGCUCGCUCGGGCCCCUUUGGAGGUGGGGUGCCCCCGGCCUCUCGGCCUAGGGCUCGGUCACUCAGGCGCAGCUGGGGGCCGGCGGAGCUCACGGGCGCGUCACUGCAACCCCCCCUGGCUUCUGCUCCGCGGCUGCUGAGUGAGCCCUCAUCUGGGACUCUCCUCAGCUCUUACUGGAACAGUGGCGCGGCUGCCCCUCUGUUGGUCUUCCUUGGUCUCUUGUGUUCUGGGGGCCUCUGGAUGUCUGGAGUUUUGAUCUCCUCCAUACCCGCUUCACACCCUGGAGGACGGGGCUGUGGCCCCCCCACACUCCCUAGCAGAUCAUUACAUGGAGAAACCUUUGGAAUGCAAGCAUGCUGAUCCACACAGGUAUGCACACAGGUGUACACAUGGGUAUUCACAGACGCGGACUAAAGCUUUCUUGGCUGCUGCCUCAAAGCACACUGUGCGCUGUCUAUCUUGCGUGCUGAACAAUAUCGUCUAUUAUUUAGUAACUAUUGAUAUUUAUGACUAGGUAGUUUAUUGUGAUGGUGCUUUUUUUUCUAUUAUUGUGUUGCUCUUUGUUGUUUGCUGUCUCCUCUGUUUGUUUGUUUGUUUGUUUUUCUCCAUACAGGUGACCCAGGAGUUUUUUUUUUUGUUGUUUGUUUUUUUUCUCCCUUCCCCCCCUUCUCACCGUCUCUUCUCCCCUUAGGUUUUCUUUCUUUCUCUCCCCCUCUUUCUCUCAUUCUUUUCCCCCUGUCCUAUUUAAAAAAAAAAAAAGAA